rnacentral:rRNA from 1 species
AGAGUUUGAUCCUGGCUCAGAAUGAACGCUGGCGGCGUGUUUAAGACAUGCAAGUCGCACGGGAUGAACCGAGUAGUAAUACCUGGUGAUUUUAGUGGCGGACGGGUGAGGAACACGUGAAUUACAUGCCCUUCAGUGGGGAAUAACCGGUCGAAAGGCUGACUAAUACCCCAUGGUAUCCUGCCCUAAGAAGCAAGAUUAAAGGUGGCCGGCAACGGCUGUCGCUGAAGGAUUGGUUCGCGCCCUAUCAGCUUGUUGGCGAGGUAACGGCUCACCAAGGCUACGACGGGUAACUGGUCUGAGAGGACGAUCAGUCACACUGGAACUGAGACACGGUCCAGACACCUACGGGUGGCAGCAGUCGAGAAUAAUUCACAAUGGGGGCAACCCUGAUGGUGCAACGCCGCGUGGAGGAUGACGGUCUUAGGAUUGUAAACUCCUGUCAUCCGGGAGAAAGACCUGACGGUUAAUAGCCGGCAGGGUUGAUAGUACCGGAAGAGGAAGGGACGGCUAACUUCGUGCCAGCAGCCGCGGUAAUACGAAGGUCCCGAGCGUUAUUCGGAAUCACUGGGCGUAAAGGGAGCGUAGCGGCGUAGUAAGUCGGAUGUGAAAUCCCGGGGCUCAACCCCGGAACUGCAUCUGAUACUGCUAUGCUAGAGUAAUGGAGGGGUAGCUGGAAUUCUCGGUGUAGCAGUGAAAUGCGUAGAUAUCGAGAGGAACACUCGUGGCGAAAGCGAGCU